rnacentral:lncRNA from 1 species
GGUCCUUCCUACGAAUUAGCCACCUCGUAAAAUACCUACGAUUUUCCCCAGUUCACGAUUUUAUUUUUUUGCAUUUCGCAUCGUGCAUUUGAGCGUGUUUGUGGAGAGGAAAACAAUCCCCAUAAUUGACUGUUUUCUGAGUAACUCCAGUAAGUUGCUCUCUGUGUUGAUUUUUAGUUGUAUGUAGAGGGCGGGACUCGAACUGAAAGGAACAAGGCGCGGCCAAGAACCCCUUCACACGUGUAGACAAAGAGACCAUCAACACAACCCAAACAUGCUGGAAAAGUUUUCCCGCGCGCUACCUCACGCCAGGACCUCGCGAAGCGCCCAGAUCGUAUCUGCUGCAGCGGUGACGAGAGGAACAGGAUGAUUCGCUCAAAACUGCUUUUUGGCGCCUGGCUCAGAAUGAACAUUCAUCACUGGUGGGCAGGACGCAGCGAGAAACCGUAACGACCAAAGUUCACGCUGAAAGGAAUGCUGAACUCCUCAAUAGGAGCCUGAGAAAUCCAGCAUCAGCACAGAGGAGCCGGAGGAGCCUCAUCGCCUCUCUGCUCCGCUCCAGCCCUAGAGGCCCAUAAACAAUAGCCUCUCCUCACAGCAGCCCGGGCCGGAUCCCAGCAACUCUAUUACUAUUCCAGCUGCCACGAGGCGUUGAGCCGCGGCGAACUGCGACCCCUG